CCCGGAGAGUUGGGAGCUCUCCCUCACAGGCCUGCUGUGCUGAGCCCUUUGAAUUGCUGUAUGGAAGCCCCACACCAUCAGACAGUUGAUUCCAACGUCUCCCUGCACCAGGAUCCCUCACCUGUCAUUUCCCUACGUGCGUCCCUAAGUAAGUGGGUUUCAUAUACUGAGACUCAAAUCCUGAAACCUUACUACUCCCUAAGGAAUUCAACCCUCCCUCACACCAGGGGCCUGGGCUUACAUAUGGGCCUCAUUAGACCCCUUGCCCCCCAAAUGGGAUGGACCUCAGAAAAUAGCUCUCACAAUGUAAGAGCUGAAUUUAAGGGCUUUCCAUAUUGGGUACACUUCUCCGCCCUGUAGCUGGCUAAAUCACCCCUCAUCUGCUCUUCUGCAAAGCCCACGUCAUCAAGAUCUCACACCUACGUCCAAGAGUAGUAACAACGCUGCCAAAGAAUGGCUUUUCCCCCAACCUCUUCCAAAACAGUCCUUGAUAUUCUGGCCCCAAAACUUCCAUCUUAUCUACUCCCCUCGCCGACAGUAACCUUUUGGAGAUUCUCUGUGAUCUCCAGCUUCAACAAUUCUGCUCUGAGCUCACACUCACUCAGAUAGGUUUUUUUCCCCUUGUAUAUAUGGUACCAAAGUCUUAAUUCUAUUCUAGGUCAAAAGUCUGCUUUCAGGAGGCCCACAACAAAAGUGAGACUGGACUUCCAGCAAGUGACAGGCAUCUGGAUCAUCUAUUUACUUCUUAAUUGUCUAAUUGGGAUAGCUAUGGGAAAUAAUAUGAUUUCAUGCCCCUCUGGGGCAAGGGAUCAUAGUGCUUCCCUCCGUUGGGUAUGCUAGACAUCCCCACUAAUGCCGAGGGAGGUUUCUCUUGGUGUCUUGCUGUGGCACUGGCACAAAAUUGGACGGCUUUGUCUUGCUGAAAUAGAUACAGGGACCUGAGUUGGAUGACAGCUACAAAGCUGGCAAAAAUCUGCUCGGAUGAGGUAAUACAGGGCGACCACUCCACAGGACAUACUGCCCCUACUGGCCGGGAGUGGGUAGUGCUCUAAUACACGGCAUGUAGAACUCUACUGUGAGAGGCGUUGGGCAACAUUUUGAUCUCAGCAGCACAGCGGGACAGACACCUGCACCUCUGUCUCAGCAUCACUCAUGUCCCUGCUUCCACUGUGUGGUGGAGUGGGGAAAAAUACCAUGGAGUGGUACCCAUAGAUAUGGCUCCCAGAGGAUAUUUAUGGGUGUCCAGUCAAUAUGUGUGGUCCUAUUUACCUGCCAAUUGGUCAGGACGUUGUACCUGGGGCAUCCUUACAUUCCCAUGAUAUUCUUUCCUCCCUCCCAGCACGGCCCUAGAGCUGGGACGCAGUGUGCUCCCUACGGCACCGCACACAGCCCACGCCCCGGUGGUUCCUUAGCUGUUGCCUUUCUGGGGGAGCUGCUGUUAAGGCACAGUUAGAUACAGAGGCCCUCGCGGAACACCCGGCCCCUGCGUUUAAUGUCCCUCAUCCAGUGCUUAGACUAUUAAUGCAGGAGACAACCCAAGUGAAAAAGGCAGUUUUACAGAAUUGCGUGGCUUCAGAUUUGCUCACAGCUGCCCAAGGUGGGUAGCUGCACCGCUGUCCAUGCAACACACUGUACCUUCAUCCCAGAUGACCGGGCACUGUAGCAGCAGCCUCACAAAGAGUAGACAGUGGAGUCCAAGAGGUACAAAGAUGUCCCAGGACCCCGCACAAGGACGUGAGAUUCGCUGAAAUCCGACCUUCUGUCUUGGAGCUUCCCUUCUGAGAUGCCUCUUCUUCUAGGACUUGCUGUCUACUUCUAGCCCGCUGACUUAAUUUGUUUCAAAGCUUUCUCACCAGCAGAAUUACAGCCGUUUUCACAGGCAGUCACCCGGCCCACGUCAAGGCAGUUCUUCAACCUCCACAGAGCGGGUCGCCGUCCCGAAUCAGCCGAAGCAGUGAACCAGGACGCCCGCCUUCCCUAACUUAACCACAGAGUGGGGAGGAGGGAGUUAGAGGGCUGCUGCCUUGACCAGAGGCCGACUAGGCCAAGCCCCGAGAUCUGCAGCCUUAUUGAUGAGGGCGUCGGAGACUGCUACCUUCCCAGCCGUCACGGGGAAAGCACAGGAAAUUUUGAGCUCCUUGAUAAUCCGAUGGGCCUGCCGUCGUGUAUUCGAUCUGUGAACUGAAGCAUCACUCUGUGUUUCUAAGUGCUCACACUCACUGACGAGCUCGGCAUCAGUGUUGACUCUGUCCUCCUCACGAUUUGCCAGUAUGUGGCACUGCUGGAGCGAAGCACUACUCACAACAGACAAGACAUGGAGUCACCCUGGCUAACCCUGAGGGAUGAGCAGUUGUGGAAAAUGUGGCAGACAUGCACUGUGGAAUACGAUUCGGUCACAAGAGGAGUGGAACCUUGUCAUUAGCAAUGACAUAGAUGCAACUGCAGGACAGAAUGUUAAGGGAAAUAAGUCAGGCACAGAAAGACAAAUAGUGCAUUCACGUUCUCACUCAUCUAUAAAAGCUGAAAAAGUAGGCUUCAUAGAAAUAGAGGACAGAAUAGUGGUCAUUAGCAAGGGUUGGGAGAGUAGUACGUUAGGAAGAGAUUGGAUAACAAGAAUCAAAAUAUUGUCAGUUAGGAGAAAUAAGUUCUGGUGUCCUGCAGCAGCGCAGAGUGACUACAGCUUACAGUCAUUCUAUAUUUUAUACAGAAACAGAAGAAAUGAAUUCCAGCACUUCCAACAGAAAGAGAUGGAAAAUACUUAAGGAGGUGGAAAUACUAAUUUUCCUAACUUGCACAUUACAUAUCAUAUAGAUGUUUUAAAUUAUUAUGCUGGAGCUCAUAAAUAAAUUAAUUAAAUGAAAUAAUUGUA